GUUUAGGGGUUAUGGGUUAUGGGUUAGGGUUGUGGGUUAGGGUUGGGGUUGGGAUUAGGGGUUAUGGGUUAGGGUUAUGGGUUAGAGUUGGGGUUGGGAUUAGGGGUUAUGGGUUAGGGUUGGGGUUGGGAUUAGGGGUUAUGUGUUAUGGGUUAGGGUUGUGGGUUAGGGUUGGGGUAGGGGUUAGGGGUUAUGGGUUGUGGGUUAGGGUUGGGGUUAGGGGUUAUGGGUUAGGGUUAUGGGUUAUAGGUUAGUUUGAGGUUAGGAUUGGGAUUGGGGUUGGAGUUAGGGUGAGGUUUAGGGGUUAGAUUCAGGGUUAGGAUUAAGGGUUAGGGUGAAAUUUAAAGUUCCUAUUAGGAUCAGGACUGGGGCUACGGGUUAGAG
ensembl:lncRNA